UGGCAUAGAGAACACCCAAGUGUGCUUUGUAGCUCCCUUGGCCUUACAUCUGUGCUAAAUUAAUAUAUGUACUUUUACCUCUGCGGUAGAAGGUGGCUUUUCCUUCUAUAUGUAUUCAGAAGUACAGUACAGUG
ensembl:snoRNA